ensembl:lncRNA
GGGUCUGGAGAGAGCGAUUUGUAAUAUUCAGGACCAGAAGUUAAAAGAAAAAGUGGAACAGUGCAAAAGAAGAUAUCCAGAUGCUUCCAGGACUGAAUGGCAGAAAAUCUACUGGAAACUGCUGCAGGAAUCAAGAACAGAAGCACAGAAGACUCUGGUGAAAGACAAACAUAUUUUGAAAUUGGCAGAAAAGUUUGGAGCGCUGCAGACAACAUCAGAGGAGCAGGAGAAGGCAAUAAAUGCAGCUCUGCAUGGGGGAAUAAGUUACGUUCAAGUGAUGCAAACUGCUUUCAGAGCAUCAGCCAAACUUGCCAAGCAGAAAAUAUGUGCUGUUCAGUGACUUGGAUAUUUUUUAGUCCAAUCUCGUUGUUUAGUUUUUUCCUUUCUAAAAUGUAUCAAUAUGAAAUAUAUCAGUAUAAAUGUGAAUAUAUUUCAAAUAUUUCAGUGGUGGUCAAAGAUGAACUUUAGAAUGACAUAAUGACGACUUAUCUCCAUCUUUAUCAGACUUACCUUUUGUAUACUCAGCUGAUGUGUCUGACACCAAUGGAAGCUUGGACAAUUCAGACAACCUACAAUUCACAUACUAAUACACCACUCAAAACAUUAAGGGAACCCUUAAAUCACACAUUGUAUCUCGAUGAACAAAAUAUUCAAGUUGAAAAUCUUUACUUAUAUACAUUGUGUAAUUCAUUGAGAACAAAAUGAUGUGACAAUGGAAGCCAAAAUCAUCAUCACACUGAGGGCUGGAUUCAAAAUCACACUGACAACCACAGUAAAAACUGAAUUACAGGCUGAUUCAACUUGCAUGAAUUUCAUCACGGCGACUCAUAAUGUCACUCAGUAGUGUAUAUGGCCCCCACGUGCCCAUAUGCACUCCCGACAAGGUCUGGGCAUCCUCCUGAUGAGAUGGUGAAUGGUGUCCUGGGGGACUUCCUCCCAGACCUGGAUCAGGAAAUCAGUGAGCUCCUGGACAGUCUGUGGUGCUACUUGGUGUCUUCACAUGCUCCGAUACAUAACGUCCCAGAGGUUCUCAGAUGAAUUCAGGUCUGGGGAAAGUGAGGACCAGUCAGUGGCAUCAAUGCCUCCGUCAUCCAGAAACUGCCUACACACUCUGGCCACAUGAGGCCAGGCAUUUUCAUGCACCAAGAGGAACCCAGGGCCCACUGCACCAGCGCAAGGUCUAACAAUGGCUCUGAGGAUUUCAUCCCGGUCAUUUUGUAGGGCUCUGGCACUGCUCCUCCUCCAAAGGAGCAGAUAUCAGUCCUGCUGCUGGGUCUUUGCCCUUCUACAGCCCUGUCCAGCUCUCCUUGUGUGACGACCCAUCUCCCGGUACCCUCCACCAUGCUCUUGAAACUGUGCUGGGAGACACACCAAACCUCCUUGCGACGGGCUUUAAUCCUUGUGCAGGAGUGACUGCAUCAGUGCGGCGUGGCGUGGAGGCGAUCAGCCUGCGGCACUGCUGAGGUGUUCUGGAGGUCCAGGUUGCUUUGAUAGCGGUCUUCAGCUCGUCCGUAUUGUCGGGUCUGGUGUCUCUUGUAGAUUCUCUAUGGGGUUCGGGUCAGGCGAGUCGGAUGGACGAUCGAGCACAGUAACCACCACGGUCAGUAAACCAGUUACUGGAAGUUUUGGCCCUGUGGGCAGGUGCCGAGUCCUGCUGGAGAAGGAAAUCCACACUGCAUUGGCUCCCAUUUAAUCUCACACUGAUUAUAAAAUACUAUUAUUAACCUAUAAAGCACUAAAUGGUCUCGCACCACAGUACAUAAUCGACCUUUAGGUUUAUAUGAUCCGCCACGCCUACUUAGAUCAAAAGGUGCAGGCUGUCCUGACGGUACCUGGAAUAGUGAAGGCUACAGCAGGGGGAAGAGCUUUCUCUUAUAGAGCCCCACAGUUAUGGAACAGUCUUCCUAUUAGUGUUCGGGACUCAGACACAGUCUCAGUGUUUAAGUCUAGGCUUAAAACGUAUUUGUUUACUCAAGCCUACCCUGACUAGAUUCUGUUACGCUAAGCACAGUCCUAAUAAUCUUUUCUCUCCCUCUCUCCUUCUGCCGAACCACACACGAUUUUAUGGAGAUACUAGAGAUCCAGAUCCUCUCUGAUCUCCGGACCUGUCUGAUCCGUUUCGGAUGUCCUGCUCUGGAUGGAGCUCUCAUCUACUCCAAUUCCAGACUGCUGGGACUACGGCUGCUCUUAACACCAUACAGACUUCAUAUGAAUCCAUAAUGAACUUUUUCACACUAUCUGUUGUUACCCAGAUGAGGAUGGGUUCCUUCUGAGUCGGGUUCCUCUCAAGGUUUCUUCCUCUUAAAACAUCUUAGGGAGUUUUUCCUCGCCACCGUCGCCACUCAGUGGCUUGCUCAGUUGGGAUAAAUUCACACCUUUAAUAUCUGUACACCGCGUUGAUAUUUCUGUAAAGCUGCUUUGAGACAAUGUCUAUUGUAAAAAGCGCUAUACAAAUAAAAUUGAAUUGAAUUAGCAUCUCCAUAAAGCUCGUCAGCAGAGGGAAGCAUGAAGUGCUCUAAAAAUCGCCUGGUAGAUGCUGCAUCGACUCUCGACUUGAGAAAACACACUGGACCAACACCAGCAGAUGACGUGGCACCUCAAAUCAUCACCGACUGUGGAAACUUCACACUGGACUUCAAGCAGCUUGGAUUCAGUUCCUCUCCACUCGUCCUCCAGACUCUGGGAUUAUACUGGGAUCUACUGGAUUUUUGAUUUCCGUGAGCUGUAAGCCAUAAUCAUCAAUAUUAGAACUGAAAAAAGACUUGAAAUAUUUCACUUUAUGUGUAAAGAAUCUAGAAUAUAUGAAAGUUCCACUUUUUGAAUUAAAUUAUGGAAAAAAAAGAGAACUUUUCCACGAUAUUCUA